AGGAGAACGAGUAGCUCACCACGAACUCACUACCGCACUUGAUUCGGCCCGAGAAAUAACAUGGAACCCGCGCCGCGGUGGAGAAGGUGUGCGGCUCACUGAGAUCCAAACGUGCCUAGCUAGGGCGCCUAGGGUUCGAUUUCGGCGGCUAGGAAGGGAAAAACAACACGCGGGACACCUCUAGGGGCUUUAUAGGGUCUUGGUUCGCAAAAAGGGCAAGAAAUCGCGGCGUUUCCUGGGAUCGGUUCGGGUGGGAUCGCGUCCUGCUCGAAUACGGCGCACGGAGGAAGAAGGAAAGCGGGCGCGUCGCUGACGUGUGGGCCCAUGCUGCCAGUGAGAGAAGCGGGCGGGACCCGGCCGUCAGCAGUGGAAAAGGGGAGGGGGAAUGGGGCGCGCAGCGUGGGCCGGUUGCCAACUGGGCCGAGGUGGGACACUGGGCCGCACCCGGACGAGAACAGAGGGGAGAGAGGGGGUACUGGGCCUCGGCCAGAAGCAGUGGGGAAAGUUGUUUUCCUUUUUCUUUUCUUUUGUUUGUUUUUUUUAUUUAAAAGCCUUUUCAAACUCAUUUAAAAUAAAUCCUUUUUAAAUCUGUUUGAAAUAUUUUGAACUUUUGUCAAACACACACACACAUCAAUAAAUCAAAUGCAAAGGCAUGAAUUCUCAAACAUAUUGCUAAACUCCUAUGAUAAUUUUUAAUUUAAUAAAUAAAAUAUUAUUUCUCUAUAUUUCAUGAACACGAAAAUACAAAAUAAAAUCUUUUUCACCUAUUUCAAAAAGAACAAAUUUUUAGGGUGUUACAAAUCUACCCCCCUUAAAAUGAAUCUCGUCCUCGAGAUUCGAAAGAGGCACGGAUUCCAAAAGAGAAACAGGAAAAAUAUUUUGAUAACUACUUGAACUUCACAACUUGUAUUCCAAAGGCAACCACUCAUGUCUCGGGAUCAUGACUUGUGAACAAAACUUCCAUAAAAUGUCUAUUUUUCGUAAUUGUUCAAAGUCCAUCUUGACUACCAACCUUUUGUCUUAUACAACUCAAAGAUAUGAUAGCUUAGCAUGGAUAUGCCUCCUCAGGUAGGAGUGGGCCACCUUGGUACUCAAUUCUUCUUCCUGAUGGUGCGGUUAAGAAAAUUUUCCACUGGGUAGCACGGAUCACUCCUUUGUGUGCACAUAAGCAUAGGAUAUCUCAGAAGACAAUUAUCACUUCAAGCUCGAUUAGAUAUGCAUCAUCCAGUGAUAUCAAGGUACUACCCCCCUUAAGACGAGGUUGGUUGGGGGACAUUAGGGACUAAUUCUCCUAUCCUUUUUGGACGCUACACAUCAUAGUCUUUUAAAUUCAUCUGUACCGAGUCUCCUGAUCCAUUGUUAGCUUCAUCACUAAGUUCCAAUUAUCGGUACUUUUAUCACAGUUAAGUUGUUUCACUCUCGCAUCCAAUUAUAACUUCGUAAACUUUGGUGUCAUCUGAUCCUCAUAAACAUAACUCUCAAUCCAUGAGUAUCAGCCAUGACUUAAAUCUCCAUUAACAUUCUCUAAAUGAGAUGAUAUCUUGAACAAACCAAAUUCACCAAGCACUUAAUGUUCAUGUAUAUGAUUUAACUUUUACCAAUCAUUCUCCUUGUAACUCCUUUAAUUAGGCUACCCCCCUUAAAAAAGGUCAACUAGGGGACAUAAUAAAGGUAGCUUGUACGUUUUCCAGAUAAGUUAACUAACAUUGAGAACUUCUGGCGUCCCCAAGAACUUAUGUGCAAAGGAGCAAACAAGUAUCCUGAAAUUUCCUCACGAUAUGAAAACACCAGCGUAGUAAAAUGGGUAUAACUCUUAUUCUGUUAAUCCAAUAGAGUUGUAGCUUAUACCGUUAGAAAAUUUAUGAAAUUCUCUACCACUUUAAUGUAGAAGACCUCCUUAGGUUCUGUCUUUAAGCUUAGGUAAAAUAGCCAAACUUAAUAUCCUUCCUGGUAAUGUCUCCGCAAAGGUGCAGUAACUUCCAGAAAUUAUAUCCCGAGCUACUUAACUCAUCUGGAGAUGAUCCUUACAUUUUUGAAAAGCUUAGGUAAUCCUUUUCAACUUUUGUAUACAUCUUUUUCCCGGAUUCUGAUGUUAAGUUAUCUGAAAGUAGAGAAUACCAGAUCUGUCCAGAUUUUGAAACAAAACAGAAACAUCCAGAUGUAAAUAUCUUAUCUCAGGUUCUACUUAUCCAAAUAAGUUCCAGCUUAUACCGUUGGAAAGCUUAGCAAAUAUUCUACAACUUUUCUAUAGAAAACUGUUCCAAAUUCUAUAGUUAUAUAUGUCUAAACAGUAAGCAACCGAAACUGGUCCAGAUUCCUGACAGCACCUCUGUAUCGUCUUGUGAUUUUUGUAACUUCCAAACCAUAUUAGCUAUGAGGGUGAUUCUUGUGGUCAGCGAAAGAUCUUGGAGUCUAGUUGUUCCCAGAAAAAGUUGACAAACUUUGCACAAUAAGAACUUGAGAUACAACAGAAUUAUUGCAGACUGCUCCAGAAAUCAGCAAAGGAUAAAACAAGAGAUAGCCAAACCCAACUACUUAUGUCAUUAAUACUUAUACCGUAGGCCUAUAAACUAAUGAAAUUGUGAGGAAAUCCCACAAGUUCAUUUCACUCACUACAAAGAUCCAAAUCAAGCAUAAGCAUAAUAACAAACCAACUAAGCAUUGAAGGUUCACACUUCACUCAACUUGCGAUACUAUCGCUCUCUUCUUGUUAAUGGUAAAGAUCCUAAAACUUAUAUUUCAAAGACGCAAGAAGGUGGUAAGAAAAGGUUCUAAAAGCAUAUCAAGCAAGGAGUGGGGAUGAGAACAAGUCUUUAAAAUAAGCAACAAGGUGAAGAUGAAUAGCAAUGAAAAGGAUAUAGUAUAGAGGAAAAUAUCAAGGUUUAUAGAGCAAGGAUUUUAUAGCAAUUUCAAAACCUUAAGACGACUGAUUUCUAACUAGGCUUGCGUCCUACAGUCAGCAUUGCUCUGAUACCACUUUGUAAUACCCGAUUUUAAGGACAAAAUCGAUAUGCACCAUAUGUGAGUCUUAGAAAACAAAUCUCACAUAUAGCUACAAAUAAGGGGUAAUAUCAAAAGACAACGCAUAAAUAUAUAACGUACUUAGUAUAAAAGAGAUAACCUUCAGUAACAAACAGCGGAUAGAUAACUCUAAACUUUAGGUAUUAACUCCUCUCCACAGGAUCAAACUGACUGGUUGAUCACAAGCCUAAAGCAAUUCCUGAAGUGAGGGGGAAAUUGCAAGAGUGAGCACAUAUCGUACUCAACAAGUAUAACCAGGGGUUCAUGAGGCUCAAUAAGCUGACACUGGUUUGACUGCGUUUAGCUUUUAUAUGUAGAUAGCAUAUUUAAUCGUUGGAUAGCAAAUAUCAAGGUAGCAUAAUUAAUCCCAUAACCACAUGUUCAAUGUAUACAAGAAUUAUGAAUAACACAUAUAAACAACACAAUAAACCAUCAUUUAUUAUCAUUAUUCACGUUCAUCAGUGUCCAUCUAUUCCGUCAGUUUUCCGGGCCGCCCGUAUCCGUGGGCACGGCUAGUAUACCAGAUUUAACACUCUGCAGAGGUUGUACAUCUUUACCCAUGAGUCAUGAUUUACCCUUUCGCCCGAGGCCCGUCGACCUCUUAGCUCACUUCCAAGGAAAGCCGGCAGGGUUCACUAUGAAGUCUUUCAAAGGUUCGUCUAACAAGUUAGGGCCGCAAGGUUUCCUUUGCGCGCAGAUAUAGAUACCCCCCUUCCAAAUGGCACAAUGACGCGCAGCCUAUACACAUAAGGACAGGGGCUCGCACUAUACCCAAAACGGUUCAGCCCCUCCGCCCUUUCGGGUAACCGCUAACAAGCUAGAAAAGCUUACUCAUACUUGACUAAAGCCAGAGCCAUAUAGCCCUCAUGGUUGUACGAGUUGUCCCAGCUUUUGCCAAGGGAUAAGUCCUUACGGAGGGUCAAGAUCAAUCCAGCAAAAGCCAGAGUUCUUUCCACCCUUUAUAUUCAAGUUGGUAGAAAGCUUAUUUUAUUGUUUAUUGUAUAUUCAAAUAUUUAUGUUACAAGAUCAUGGAUUAAUCAUCAAGCACUAGCAAGAACUACCCAAAUGCAUAUCCAAAUAGGUAACAAGGAAUUCAGGAUAACAAACAUCUAUGAUUUUGCUAAGGUCAUCAAGGUGAUAGCAUGCAUGUGAUAAAUGUUAUAUUAAUUGUGUAUAGGUAACAAGGAUAGUCCCAAGUUAUACUUGCCUUGAUCAAAGCUCUCCUGAGCCUGCUGGUCUUCAAAUGCUUGAUCUUGAUCACCAACGUAAAGCUCACCGACUAAACUCGAUCAUCAAUCAACAACACGCAUUCUAAUGGUCAAUCAUACACAGAGCAAACAAGCUAUAAUUAGAACAAUACACCAAACAGUGGUAAAUCAAAGAUAAAAGUUUAUGAAAAUAUUCUACACAGCACUACGAUCAUACAAACGUAAAGUUCACAAAAAUCGGAAUUAAAAACGUAGAAGAUAUGAAUUUUCUAAGAUUUUAUAUAGAAAAAUAAUUAAUUAACUAGGGUCACGAAAUUAAAAAGUUUCAAACUGAGAAAUCAGUGAUACUAACACGUAGAUCUCGAGAAGAUGAAUCUAACGCAAUUUGAAUGGACAAAAACGGAGUUAAAAUGUAUAUUUUAUGACCGAAACAAAUUCAAUGGCAGUUUUGUAAAUACCAGGAAGCGUAUUCUGAAGUAACCCGGCAGACUUUACGUUUUCAAAUGGUGAAAACGUAUUUCUGAACUACGCCUAAGGACUGCGGGUUUGAUUGUAAAGAAGUUCAGGGGCUCUUUACCAAAAGUUACACCGAACCGUUACCUUCUAAUCUCGUUCGCUGGUGCUUGAUCGGACGGUCCGCAGCGUCCCAGGGAGGUCACGGCGGGGGUCGGUCGCCGGGGUUGAAGCCCGACGCGGCGGCUGCCAUGGGCGCCGCCUUGAAGCCCACCGGAGACCACCUAAUCCACGUUUCCAAGCGCCAAACAACAAAAUAAGAACACCAAGAGAACAAGUAGCUCACCACGAACUCACUACCGCACUUGAUUCGGCCCGAGAAAGAACAUGGAACCCGCGCCGCGGUGGAGAAGGUGUGCGGCUCACUGAGAUCCAAACGUGCCUAGCUAGGGCGCCUAGGGUUCGAUUUCGGCGGCUAGGAAGGGAAAAAACAACACGCGGGACCCCUCUAGGGGCUUUAUAGGGUCUUGGUUCGCAAAAAGGGCAAGAAAUCGCGGCGUUUCCUGGGAUCGGUUCGGGUGGGAUCGCGUCCUGCUCGAAUACGGCGCACGGAAGUAGAAGGAAAGCGGGCGCGUCGCUGAAGUGUGGGCCCGUGCUGCAAGUGAGAGAAGCGGGCGGGACCCGGCCGUCAGCAGUGGAAAAGGGGAGGGGGAAUGGGGCGCGUAGCGUGGGCCGGUUGCCAACUGGGCCGAGGUGGGACACAGGGCCGCACCCGGCCGAGAACAGAGGGGAGAGAGGGGGUACUGGGCCUCGGCCAGAAGCAGUGGGGAAAGUUGUUUUCCUUUUUCUUUUCUUUUGUUUGUUUUUUUUUAUUUAAAAGCCUUUUCAAACUCAUUUAAAAUAAAUCCUUUUUAAAUCUGUUUGAAAUAUUUUGAACUUUUGUCAAACACACACACACAUCAAUAAAUCAAAUGCAAAGGCAUGAAUUCUCAAACAUAUUGCUAAACUCCUAUGAUAAUUUUUAAUUUAAUAAAAAAAAUAUUAUUUAUCUAUAUUUCAUGAACACGAAAAUACAAAAUAAAAUCUUUUUCACCUAUUUCAAAACGAACAAAUUUUUAGGGUGUUACACUCAUAGAUAUUCUCUGACUAGCUAGACCGUGGUAGUAGCGAGGAACGUGACAUUUCCGAGUUACCUUUGCAAACCAUAUCUCGUUAGCAGGAAGGAUAGGGUUUAUAGGUGAGGGUUGAACAUCCUCUGUGGUGUCUAGAUUCCGUAAGCUUCCCCAAUAGAACAGUAGAUCAUCCUUACCAAGGUUAGAAGGAGAUUACGGUUGUAGUCUUCUCUAUUUAUCACUCACAUCGAGAAACAUUCUUUGUAGCCUAAAGGUUAGUAGUAAUAGACUGGAUUAGUCAGAUACACUCUUUCUCCUAGUGGUAAAAAAAUAAAUACGAUACUCUGGAUAACUUCCCGGGUGAAGUGCUCACCGAUAUCCGUGCGCUUGCGGAUCAAUUCCUUAUUGCGUUCCCAAAUAUCAACAAGCAUUUCUGGUGCCGUUGCCGAGGAGAAAGACGGUUUUCUGAGAUAACCUUGAGUCUUACUACUAGCUUGUAUCUAUACUUUUAUCUUUUCUUAUCUUUUAUAUUCUGUAUUUAUUUUCUUUACUCUUACCUUAUGGAAAACCAAGAUUCUAAGUCAACCUACCAAUUUGCAACACCUUCGGAAACUGACCUUUUACCAUGGGAGUCAUCACAGCCUAUCCAAACAUCCCAGUAUAGGUUAAGUUCUAGGUUGAUUGCUAUGAUUCAAAACUUAUCUUUUUCGGGAAAGGAAGACGAUAACUCUUACCUUCAUAUUAGAGAUUUUGAGCAAACAUGUGAUUGUGUUCGCAUUGAAGGCAUU
rnacentral:lncRNA from 1 species